rnacentral:rRNA from 1 species
UACAGAGGUCUCGAGCGUUGUUCGGAUUCAUUGGGCGUAAAGGGUGCGUAGGUGGCGCUGUAAGUCGGGUGUGAAAUCCUGAGGCUUAACCUCGGAACUGCAUUCGAUACUGCGGCGCUUGAGGACUGGAGAGGAGACUGGAAUUCAUGGUGUAGCAGUGAAAUGCGUAGAGAUCGUAAGGAAGACCAGUGGCGAAGGCGGCUCACUGGCCCGGUAC